CACACACACACACACACACACACACACACACACACACACACACACACACACACACACACACACACACACACACACACUGGACUCACACACACACACACACACACACACACACACACACACACACACACACACACACACACACACACACACACACACACACACACACACACAGACAAACACACACACACACACACUGGACACACACACACACACUGGACACACACACACACACACACACACACUGGACACACACACACACACACACACACACACACACACACACACACACACACACACACACACACACACACACACACACACACUGGACUCACACACACACACACACACUGGAAUCACACACACACACUGGACUCACACACACACUGGACAAACAAACACACUGGACACACACACACACACUGGACAAACACACACACUGGACAAACACACACACACACACACACACACACACACACACAGUGGACACACAGGACACACUGGACAAACACACACACAUACUGGACACAAACACACACACACACACACUGGACAAACACACACACACCUUAAUAUGGGAGGACAGGCUUGUAAUGGCUGGAGGGGAAUAAGUGGAAUGGUUUGAAACAUGUGGUUUCCAUGGUUUCCAUUUCAUUCUCUCUGUUCCAGACGUUAUUAUGAGCCGUCCUCCCCUCAGCAGCCUCCACUGGUAUGUACUGUCCUAUAUGUGAGAGAGCUCAAUCCACCCAAAACAACAUGCAGUCUUUCCACAAGACUCCCAUGAAGUUAUAGUGUGACGUUAUGAGUUGACGUUAACCUUUCAGGUGGGACACUAGCUACUUAUUUCCCUCAUUAAAAUGCUAAUCAUUUUAUAACAUUUUUGACAUGCGUUUUUCUGGAUUUUUGUUGUUGUUAUUCUGUCUCUCACUGUUCAAAUAAACCUACUAUUAAAAUUAUAGACUGAUCAUUUCUUUGUCAGUGGGCAAACGUACAAAAUCAGCAGGGGAUCAAAUACUUUUUUUCCCUCACUGUAGACUUUAUUUUAAUUUUAUUGUGUUAUUGACUGUACGCUUGUUUAUUCC
rnacentral:lncRNA from 1 species